rnacentral:rRNA from 1 species
AGUGAACGCUGGCGGUAGGCCUAACACAUGCAAGUCGAACGGCAGCACAGUAAGAGCUUGCUCUUACGGGUGGCGAGUGGCGGACGGGUGAGGAAUACAUCGGAAUCUACUUUUUCGUGGGGGAUAACGUAGGGAAACUUACGCUAAUACCGCAUACGACCUACGGGUGAAAGCAGGGGAUCUUCGGACCUUGCGUGAUUGAAUGAGCCGAUGUCGGAUUAGCUAGUUGGCGGGGUAAAGGCCCACCAAGGCGACGAUCCGUAGCUGGUCUGAGAGGAUGAUCAGGCACACUGGAACUGAGACACGGUCCAGACUCCUACGGGAGGCAGCAGUGGGGAAUAUUGGACAAUGGGCGAAAGCCUGAUCCAGCCAUACCGCGUGGGUGAAGAAGGCCUUCGGGUUGUAAAGCCCUUUUGUUGGGAAAGAAAAGCAGCAAGUUAAUACCCCGCUGUUCUGACGGUACCAAAAGAAUAAGCACCGGCUAACUUCGUG